CAGGCCCUGAGUUCAGUCUCCAGUACCAACAGCAACAACAGCAACAAAAUACUAAUAAUAAAAUGUUUAAUUUUUUUUUUUUUUUUUUUUGGUGCUGGGGAGCAAACUCAGUAAAAUGUUUAAUUUUGAGACAGACUUUUUCUAAAUUGCCUAGGUGAGAUUUGAACUUGUGAUUCUCCUCCCUCAGCCUCCCUGAGGGCUAGGAUUACAGGCCUGAACUCUUUAAGGAGACAGAGUGACUCCGCCUAAAUGAAGCCUGCCUAAAUGAAGCCUGGUGUUGAGAGGGUGAACUUCCUCACUCCAGACCCCAGCUCUGAGCCAUGUGGACAAAGUUUUGCCAGAGCAAGGAGAGUGAUACUUACGGAGUGUGCCUGAAGUCAUUUUGCAAAACAACCAACCAAAAGGCCUUUGACGUCGGAGAGGAUGUAUGUGGGGCAGAAGAACUAACUACGAGAAUCCUGUGCUCACAACAUCUGCAGCUACAACUCGGAGACAUCAUACAGGCAUUUACUGGGUGUGAGCAAUCAGCAUGUUACAGGUCUGACUAGUUUGCAGCUCCAGUGGGCUGCCUGAGGGUUCGGAAGACAGGUUUCACAAAGAAAAAUCACUGUCACCUCAGCUUCAGACAACCACUAAAUUCUGCCUACGAAUCUUGUAGGAGGCGCUUCAUAUCCAUGGAGCAAAUGUGAGCAUAAAGAAAUGGUGUUGGGACAAACAGCCAUCUGUAAGUAAAGUUGGAAGUAUACCUCAUACUGUACCAAAACGAAUUUCUGAUAGAGAAAACAUAAAUGUUAAAAACUUUGAUCAGAAAAUAUAUAUAGCCCAGGGGUGAUGGUGCAUGCCCAUAAUCCCAAGCACUCUGGGAAACUGAGGCAUGAGAUCCCAAGUUUGAGCCCAGCCUGCACAAUUUGGUGAUUGUCACUCAUUCUACCACUAAGCUACACCCACCAUCCUCUGUGUGUGUGUGUGUGUGUGCGCGCGCGCGUGCGCGAGCGAGCGUGUGUGUGUGUGUGUGUGUGUGUGUGUGUGUGUGUGGUCUUGUUGUUGUUUUUAUUUUCUAGUACUGGUGUUGCAUCCAGGUUGAGCAGCCCACCAGGAUCAGAAACUCAGCAGCAAUAACAAAUUAAAGGGAUGGAGUUUAAGAAGGGAAGCCGAUUUAUUUGUAAGGAGGAAAAAAUAGAAGACACAAAGCUGCCAGGAUAGAGAGCAGGGGCUGCAGAUGAUAUGUGUGUGUCGUCGUGUGUGUCGGGGGGGGGGGGUCCGCCCCCGCCCCAGCCCUGGUCCCAGGCUCCUUUUGUUAGGUCUGGGGACCCUUCCUUUCGGGUGGGUGGUAACCUGAUCAGUCUCUGGGCGGUCUUUGGGUGGACUCCAGGUCCCCAGAUCCUAACCUGGGUACUUUUGCCUGUGUGCACAAUCCUUUCGGUGGGCUUUCUUUCACUUCUUGCCCUGUUGUGAUCUGCAAGUUGUUGGGAAGGGAUCCUUUUAAGGUUAGUGACUAAGUAAAGGCGUGUGUGUAUAUCUAGUGCAGUAAUAUUGUGCCUCUACAGUGUUUUUAAAUACUAAAUAAAUUUUCUUGUAAAUUAGGUAGCCAUCCCUUGUCUCCCUGACAUUUUAUUGGGGGGAGUGGUGUCCUGGUUUUCAUGCUUCCGGCUUCCUUCCUGCCCCGCCUAGGGUUCUUCUAAUCUCUCCACUAGAGAGCAUUCCUCCCUUGGCUGUAAAUUCUUAUGCUAAUCACACUAUCCGGUGCUUUCUAAGUCUGAUUUCUCUUUCUCUACCUUUGUCCUUUUAAGUGCACAAAUCCAACUGCC
ensembl:lncRNA